rnacentral:rRNA from 1 species
AGAGCUUGCUCUCUGAUUCAGCGGCGGACGGGUGAGUAAUGCCUAGGAAUCUGCCUGGUAGUGGGGGACAACGUCUCGAAAGGGACGCUAAUACCGCAUACGUCCUACGGGAGAAAGCAGGGGACCUUCGGGCCUUGCGCUAUCAGAUGAGCCUAGGUCGGAUUAGCUAGUUGGUGAGGUAAUGGCUCACCAAGGCGACGAUCCGUAACUGGUCUGAGAGGAUGAUCAGUCACACUGGAACUGAGACACGGUCCAGACUCCUACGGGAGGCAGCAGUGGGGAAUAUUGGACAAUGGGCGAAAGCCUGAUCCAGCCAUGCCGCGUGUGUGAAGAAGGUCUUCGGAUUGUAAAGCACUUUAAGUUGGGAGGAAGGGCAGUAAGCGAAUACCUUGCUGUUUUGACGUUACCGACAGAAUAAGCACCGGCUAACUCUGUGCCAGCAGCCGCGGUAAUACAGAGGGUGCAAGCGUUAAUCGGAAUUACUGGGCGUAAAGCGCGCGUAGGUGGUUUGUUAAGUUGAAUGUGAAAUCCCCGGGCUCAACCUGGGAGCUGCAUCCAAAACUGGCAAGCUAGAGUAGGGC